UAUUUAUCUUAUAUUUAACUUCUUUUACUAUUUUUGUACUGGACUAAUUUUUUAAUUUAGUUUUUGUCUGUCUAAAAUAUCAAGUUGGUAGCUAAAAACACGUAGGCUGAAACAUAAAAAAGACAACUUGAUAGAUAAAAACACGUAGACCAAAAAAAAAAAGAAAAAAAAAUAACAUUUCCACUAUAUUAGAAGUUGAACUUGUGGCUAUCAGAUAUUAUGGGAUUGUCCAAGAAAGAUGUUUUGAUGGAUGAGGUAAAACCAAAAUAAAAUUUUGGACAGAAUCCCAUAAUAUACUGUAUUGAAUUCAAGAAAGAUGUUGUGAUGGAUGAGGUAAAACCAAAAUAAAAUUUUGGACAGAAUCCCA
rnacentral:lncRNA from 1 species